AUGCUAGAGCACGUUUUCAAUGGGCUCCCCAACGACAAGGCGAUGACGCAUUCGUAUGUUAUCCAUAUCAACUUUCGAUGCAAUUUACUGCGCCUACCAUGGUGACCACGGGUAACGGGGAAUUAGGGUUCGAUUCCUGAGAGGGAGCCUGAGAUACGGCUACCACAUGCAAGGAAGGCAGCA